rnacentral:rRNA from 1 species
UACGGAGGGUGCAAGCGUUAUCCGGAUUCACUGGGUUUAAAGGGUGUGUAGGCGGGUAUUUAAGUCAGUGGUGAAAUCUCCAGGCUCAACCUGGAAACUGCCAUUGAUACUAUUUAUCUUGAAUAUUGUUGAGGUAGGCGGAAUAUAUCAUGUAGCGGUGAAAUGCUUAGAUAUGAUAUAGAACACCGAUUGCGAAGGCAGCUUACUAAACAAUUAUUGACGCUGAGGCACGAAAGCGUGGGGAUCAAACAGG